ACAUUGGUGGUUCAGUGGUAGAAUUUUCGCCUUCCAUGCAGGAGACCCUGGUUCGAUUCCUGGCCAAUGCA
rnacentral:tRNA from 1 species